GCUUUCGUGGUAUAACGGUAGCACACUCAGCUCGUAUUCGAGAGAUCCAAGUUCGAGUCCCGAUGAGAGCA
rnacentral:tRNA from 1 species